rnacentral:lncRNA from 1 species
GGUUAACUGAAAUAUAUCAGAAACCUCACCCAGUUAUCAGGCUGGCAAAUAAUUUGACAGAUCCCACAAAUGGAACCGUUUUGAUUUACCUGUUCUGCUUCACAUGUAACACCUUCUCCGCCCGCCUCUCUGGCUCUUUGGCUGCUCCGCUGCUCCUGCCUUAAACAAUUGCAGCCUAAAGGAUUGAGACACUUGAAAGGCUGUCAUCAACUGUCCCCGUCAUCGCUCCCCUUUCUUCCCUGGGAAAGCAAGGAAUGUCAGGAUUGUUGCAGGUUUUCAUCGCCAUGUGUUCGACUUUAGUGUCCUCGGACCUAAGAAUUAUACACGUCAGCAUGUAUUUUUGCAGAUAAUGGGUGCAUUGUCUGGAGCUAUAGUGAAGUUCUCUCCGUGCUAUUCACAUGAUGGAUCAUCUCAUCACUGUCUCCUACUUCUAGCUACUGCUGGUGAGCCCAUCUACCUGGAGGCUUUCACUAGCUUUUGUGCA